AUGCCAGCAACUGGGACUUCCUGUGGAAUGCAAGGGCAGUGGGGCCUCCGCGAGAGAGAGAGAGAGAGAGAGAGAGAGAAGAGAGAGAUAUUAAGGAUGAAUCCCAGUGUCUGCUCUGAGCAAAUUGGAAGACGAUGGCAUCAGGGGCACUGCUCUGGGCUAUAUAGACUGUGCCUCCACUAAAGGGUCCCUGAGACCAGGUGUGGGCCCGUAUCCCUGGAGGGAGAGAGCAUGCAGUCCAUUUGGAAACAUGCAUGUGGGAAAGUGGGGAGGGACCCUGUCAAGCAUCUAAGAGGAGUGGUGGCAUUUGCUGUGUCCACCUCCAUCCUUCCCACUCACUACUCAGCACCUAUAGCCUUGUCGCUCUCCCCAACACUCUGCUGAGACUGUUGUCACCAAAAACACUAUUGUCCGGCUCCCUGUUGAAAGGACCGACUCUCAGGAGAUGAAGAUCCAAUCACUCUAUCAAAGAAUAUGAGCAUUUCCGAGGCUCUUGUAAGACAUCCAGCCUCCAGAACUGUGAGUACUAUGCUGAAGAGAGCCCUCAUCAGCACCUGACCAACCUGACCAUGCUGCACCCUCAUCUUAGACGUUCAGCCUCCAGAACUGUGAAUACUAUGCUGAAGAGAGCCCUCACCAGCACCUGACCAUGCUGCACCCUCAUCUCAGAUGUCCAGCCUCCAGAACUGUAAUCCAAGAGCCAAAUCAUGAAUGAACUACCAUUCACAACUGCCACAAAAGAAUAAAAUAUGUAGGAAUACAUCUAACAGGGGAAGUGAAGGACCUUUUCGAGAAGAACUACAAACCACUGCUCAGAGAAAUCUGGGAUGACACAAACAAGUGGGAAAGCAUUCCAUGCUCAUGGAUAGGAAGAAUCAAUAUCAUGAAAAUGGCCAUAUUGCCCAAAGCGAUUUAUAGAUUCAAUGCUGUUCCCAUUAAACUACUAUUGAGAUUCUUCAUAGAAUUAGAAAAAACUUUUAAAAUUCAUAUGGGGCUGGGUGCAGCGGCUCACGCUUGUAAUCCCAGCACUUUGGAAGGCCGAGUUGGGAGGAUCACUUGAGUUCAGGGGUUCAAGACCAGCCUGGCCAACAUGGUGAAACCCCCAUCUCCACUGAAAAUACAAAAAUUAGCUGGGCAUGAUGGUUGGCAUCUGUAAUCCCAGCUACUCGGGAGACUGAGACAUGAGAAUCACUUGAACCUGGGAGGUGGAGGUUGCAGUGAGCCAGGAGCACACCACUGCACUCCAGCCUGGGUGACAGAGAGUCAGUCUCAAAAAAAAAAAAAAAAAUCAUAUGGAACUGAAAAAGAGCCUGAAUAGCCAAGACAAUCCUAAGAAAACAAACAAACAAACAAACAAACAAACCAAAGCUGGAGGCCUCUCCAAAUUAUACCACAAGACUACAGUAACUAAAAAAGCAUGGUACUGGUACAAGAACAGACACAGAGACCAAUGGAACAGAAUAGGGAACCCAGAAAUAAAACUGCACACCUACAAUCAUCUGAUCUUCAGCCAAGUCAACAAUAACAAGCAAUGGAAAAAGGAUUCCCUAUUUAAUAAACCAUGCUGGGAGAACUGGCUAGUCAUAUGGAAAAAAUGGAAACUUCUUUACAUUAUGUGCAAAAAUCACCUCAAGAUGGAUUAAAGACUUAAAUGUAAAACCCAAAACUAUAAAAACCCCAGACAAAAAUCUAGGCAAUACCAUUCAGGACAUAGGCAUGGGCAAAGACUUCAUGACAAAGAUGUCAAAAGCAAUAGCAUUUGACCCAACGAUGCCAUUACUGGGUAUAUACCCAAAGGAAUACAAAUCAUUCUAUUAUAAAGAUACAUGCACAUGUAUGUUCACUGCAGCACUAUUCACAAUAGCAAAGACAUGGAAUCAACUUAAAUGCCCGUCAAUAAUAGAUGGGAUAAAGAAAAUGUGGUACAUAUACACCAUGGAAUACUAUGCAGACAUAAAAAGGAAUGAGAUCAUGUCGUUUGCAGGGACAUGGAUGGAGCUAGAAGCCAUUAUCCUCAGAAAACUAACACAGGAACAGAAAACCAAAUACCACAUGUUCUCACUUAUAAGUGGGAGCUGAAUGAUGAGAACACAUGGACACGUGGUGCGGGAACAAUACACCUGGGGCCUGUUGGAGGGUGGGGGCUGGGAGGAGGGAGAGCAUCAAGAAUAGCUAAUGAGGCCAGGCACAGUGGCUCACGCCUGUAAUCCUAGCAUUUUGGGAGGCUGAGGCGGGCAGAUCAUUUGAGGUCAGGAGUUUGAGACCAGCCUGGCCAAUAUGGUGAAACCCCGUCUCUAUUAAAAAUACAAAAAUAUUAGCCAGGCAUGGUGGCAAUGCCCGUAGUCCCUGCAACUUGGGAGGCUGAGGCAGGAGAAUCGUUUGAACCUGGGAGGUGGAGUUUGCAGUGAGCCAAGAUCGCGCCACUGCACUCCAGCCUGGGCGACAGAGUGAGGCUCCAUUAAAAAAAAAAAAAAAAAAAGAAGAGCAAAUGAAUGCUGGGCAUAAUAUCUAGAUGAUGGGAUGAUCUGUGCAGCAAACCACUAUGGCACAUGUUUACCUAUGUAACAAACCUGCACAUCCUCCACAUGUACCCCUGAACUUAAGAGUUGGAAAUCAAAAAGAAAAAAGGUAUUAACUCAAAAUAAAAACAGUGUGUACUAUUUUUCUAAUCAGCAAAUGUUAUUUUAUUUUUUACUAUUAUUUUUAGAGUCGAUAUCUUGCUCUGUCACACAGUCUGGAGUGCAGUGGCAUGAUUAGCUUUGAAUUCCUGUUCAAGUGAUCCUCCCACCUCAGUCUCCAGAGUAGCUAGGGCUACAGGCAGUGCUGCCACACCUGGAUAAUUUUUAAAUUUUUUAUAGAGUUGGGGUCUUGCUAUGUUGCCCAGGCUUGUCUCAGACUCCUGGCCUUAAGUGAUCCUCCUGCCUCUGUCUUCUGAGUCGCUGGAUUACAGGUAUGAGCCACCAUGCUCAGCAGAAAAUUAAAUUUUUUUUUAACAAGUCAUUAGUUCCUGGGAAUUCUAUUUCACUUCCAAAUCCACCUCAUUUUGCAGUGCCCUGUUCUUAGUAGUCCUGGUUUAGGAAGAGUCGUGUUUCACAUGAUCAAGGUAGCCAACACAAUGAAAGUUGAGUUCACAGAGUAUUUAUUUAUUUUGGUCCCUCACAGAGUAUCUAUUUAUUUUUGGUCCCUCACAGAGUAUUUGUUUAUUUUUGUUCCCUCAAAUAAUUCAGCACAAUUAAAUUCAGCAAAUAUUUAUUGAACACUUGGAGAUGAUGAUGGAAAAUUAUGUUCACAUGGUGCCAUUUGGUACAACGGAAAUGGCAUGAGAUUUGGACCAAACCAGAAUUGUCUUAAAUCCUGGCUUUGUUAGUUUUAGGUAUGUCAUCUUGAGCAGUUCACUUCACUUUUUGAGCCACAAUUUCUCUUCCUUACAUAAAGAUAUUUAUAAAUACCCCACAGGUUGUUAUAAUAAAGGUUGAAGAUGCUUGGCACAUAAGCAAAAAUUAUGAAUAAAUAUGUAUUAAAAUAUAAAAUAACUACAAAAUAAAAUAAAAAUAUUGUUUUUCUCACCACAUGUCAGUAUCUUUACACAUAUAAUCUAAUUUUAUCCUUACAGGAUUGCUAGCCUGGUGUG
rnacentral:lncRNA from 1 species